GGUUAAGCGACUAAGCGUACACGGUGGAUGCCCUGGCAGUCAGAGGCGAUGAAGGACGUGCUAAUCUGCGAUAAGCGUCGGUAAGGUGAUAUGAACCGUUAUAACCGGCGAUUUCCGAAUGGGGAAACCCAGUGUGAUUCGUCACACUAUCAUUAACUGAAUCCAUAGGUUAAUGAGGCGAACCGGGGGAACUGAAACAUCUAAGUACCCCGAGGAAAAGAAAUCAACCGAGAUUCCCCCAGUAGCGGCGAGCGAACGGGGAGCAGCCCAGAGCCUGAAUCAGUGUGUGUGUUAGUGGAAGCGUCUGGAAAGGCGCGCGAUACAGGGUGACAGCCCCGUACACAAAAAUGCACAUGCUGUGAGCUCGAUGAGUAGGGCGGGACACGUGGUAUCCUGUCUGAAUAUGGGGGGACCAUCCUCCAAGGCUAAAUACUCCUGACUGACCGAUAGUGAACCAGUACCGUGAGGGAAAGGCGAAAAGAACCCCGGCGAGGGGAGUGAAAAAGAACCUGAAACCGUGUACGUACAAGCAGUGGGAGCACGCUUAGGCGUGUGACUGCGUACCUUUUGUAUAAUGGGUCAGCGACUUAUAUUCUGUAGCAAGGUUAACCGAAUAGGGGAGCCGAAGGGAAACCGAGUCUUAACUGGGCGUUAAGUUGCAGGGUAUAGACCCGAAACCCGGUGAUCUAGCCAUGGGCAGGUUGAAGGUUGGGUAACACUAACUGGAGGACCGAACCGACUAAUGUUGAAAAAUUAGCGGAUGACUUGUGGCUGGGGGUGAAAGGCCAAUCAAACCGGGAGAUAGCUGGUUCUCCCCGAAAGCUAUUUAGGUAGCGCCUCGUGAAUUCAUCUCCGGGGGUAGAGCACUGUUUCGGCAAGGGGGUCAUCCCGACUUACCAACCCGAUGCAAACUGCGAAUACCGGAGAAUGUUAUCACGGGAGACACACGGCGGGUGCUAACGUCCGUCGUGAAGAGGGAAACAACCCAGACCGCCAGCUAAGGUCCCAAAGUCAUGGUUAAGUGGGAAACGAUGUGGGAAGGCCCAGACAGCCAGGAUGUUGGCUUAGAAGCAGCCAUCAUUUAAAGAAAGCGUAAUAGCUCACUGGUCGAGUCGGCCUGCGCGGAAGAUGUAACGGGGCUAAACCAUGCACCGAAGCUGCGGCAGCGACGCUUAUGCGUUGUUGGGUAGGGGAGCGUUCUGUAAGCCUGUGAAGGUGUACUGUGAGGUAUGCUGGAGGUAUCAGAAGUGCGAAUGCUGACAUAAGUAACGAUAAAGCGGGUGAAAAGCCCGCUCGCCGGAAGACCAAGGGUUCCUGUCCAACGUUAAUCGGGGCAGGGUGAGUCGACCCCUAAGGCGAGGCCGAAAGGCGUAGUCGAUGGGAAACAGGUUAAUAUUCCUGUACUUGGUGUUACUGCGAAGGGGGGACGGAGAAGGCUAUGUUGGCCGGGCGACGGUUGUCCCGGUUUAAGCGUGUAGGCUGGUUUUCCAGGCAAAUCCGGAAAAUCAAGGCUGAGGCGUGAUGACGAGGCACUACGGUGCUGAAGCAACAAAUGCCCUGCUUCCAGGAAAAGCCUCUAAGCAUCAGGUAACAUCAAAUCGUACCCCAAACCGACACAGGUGGUCAGGUAGAGAAUACCAAGGCGCUUGAGAGAACUCGGGUGAAGGAACUAGGCAAAAUGGUGCCGUAACUUCGGGAGAAGGCACGCUGAUAUGUAGGUGAAGUGAUUUACUCAUGGAGCUGAAAUCAGUCGAAGAUACCAGCUGGCUGCAACUGUUUAUUAAAAACACAGCACUGUGCAAACACGAAAGUGGACGUAUACGGUGUGACGCCUGCCCGGUGCCGGAAGGUUAAUUGAUGGGGUCAGCGCAAGCGAAGCUCUUGAUCGAAGCCCCGGUAAACGGCGGCCGUAACUAUAACGGUCCUAAGGUAGCGAAAUUCCUUGUCGGGUAAGUUCCGACCUGCACGAAUGGCGUAAUGAUGGCCAGGCUGUCUCCACCCGAGACUCAGUGAAAUUGAACUCGCUGUGAAGAUGCAGUGUACCCGCGGCAAGACGGAAAGACCCCGUGAACCUUUACUAUAGCUUGACACUGAACAUUGAGCCUUGAUGUGUAGGAUAGGUGGGAGGCUUUGAAGUGUGGACGCCAGUCUGCAUGGAGCCGACCUUGAAAUACCACCCUUUAAUGUUUGAUGUUCUAACGU
rnacentral:rRNA from 1 species